rnacentral:rRNA from 1 species
UCUGGUUGAACGUGCCAGAUCCGAAUGUUAUCUGGUUUGGAAUUAGUCAUGCAAGUCAAAUGUACCUAGUACAUGGCAUACUGCUUAGUAACAAGUAGACAACCUACCCUUAUCUGGAGAAUAACUACGGGAAACUGUAGGGAAUACUCCAUAGUUGAUGAAGUCUGGAAUGAAUCAUCAUCGAAAGCCCCGGCGGAUAAGGAUGGGUCUGCUCCUGAUUAGCUUGAUGGGGGGGUAAUGUCCUCUCAUGGCAUUGAUCAGUAGCGGCAAUGCGAGUUGGAGCCGCAAGACUACACCUGAGACACAGUGUAGAUCCCUAUGGGGAGCAGCAGACGCGAGCAAUCAGCAAUGCACGAAAGUGUGAUUGUGCAAACCGGAGUGGUUAAACCUAAAACGGAACUAGUAACUCCGUUGAGAAGGAGAGUGCAAGGGGGGUGCCAGCAGACGCGGUAAAACCUCCUCUUCAGAUGUUCGGGAAUAUUAUUGAGCUUAAAGCGAGCGUAGCUGGAAUAUGUAAGUCCUCGGUCAAAUCCACCGUCUUCAGCGGUGGGCUGCUGAGGAUACUGCUAUUCUAGGGAAUAGGAAACGUUAAUUGUACUAUCAGAGUACCGGUGAAAUGGGUUAAUACUGAUGGGACAAACGAUGGCGAAGGCAAUUAACGGGAAUAUGUACGACAGUGAGGCUCGAAAGCUGGGGUAGCGACAUGGAUUAGAGACCCAUUUAGUCCCAGCCGUAAACGAUGUGGGCUAGUUGUUGGAGCUGUCAAAAAGAACGGCUCCAGUGACAACAGAGAAAUCGGAAGCCCACCGCUUGGGAAGUACGCAGGCAACUGUGAAACUUAAACGUAUUGACGGGAAUUUUCCCAACUCGAGGAGCCUGCGGUUUAAUUGGACCCAACGCCGGACAUCUUACCAGCUGCCGAAAUUUCGUGAAGGUCAGACUGACGCUCUUACCAGAGAAUUUCGAGGGUAGUGCAUGGCCACUGGAAACUAGUACCUUGAGGCAUUCUGUUAAUUCAGACAACUAGUGUAACCACGGCCCUUAUUUGCUAAUCAUGGAUCCGUUCAUGAAGGACUAUAAGGGGACCGCCACAAAAAGUGGAGGAAGGGCGUGUCAAAGGUAGGUCAGUAUGCUCCUAAACAGCUGGGCCACACGCGGGCUACAAAGGCGAUGACAAUAGGCUGCCACCCCGAAAGGGGGAGCUAAUCCUUAAACAUCGUCGUAGUCGGAAUUAAGGGUUGCAACUCACCCUUAUGAACUUGGAUUGAGAAGUAAUCGUGUGUCAGUAACGCACGGUGAAAAAGGUUAAAGAUUUUGUACACACCGCCCGUCGCUUCAAUCGAUUUGUGAAGCGCUGAGGACGAAUCCCUAGGGUUUGUUCAAAGCGUGGCACAGAGA